CCAAAGCUGCAAUUGCCUCCCCCGCUGCCAAUGCGUCCUUGAUUGGUGUCUUGAAGUAUAAGUCGACAAUGUAGUUUGAGUUGUCAGUAACAUAAGGUUUGUCACCUUCCAAUCUUAGCUUUGCCUCGACUCCUUCCUCCUUAAACAGUUCCUGCAACCUUACUAGGUUAUACUUCCAGCAGAACUGCACAACUUCCACUGGCAUGGCUAGACCACUUCCUCCUAAUCCAUCAACUAGUUUUGUCUCGUCAACAACAACAAUAAACUUGUCUGAUGCAGCCUCAACCAUCUUCUCACGGAGAAGCGCACCACCCCGCCCUUUCACAAGGUUAAGGUCUGGGUCAACCUGUUUUAGUACCAAUUGAAUUUAAUUAGUUAAAAAGUAGCAGUUUUGAAUACAGCAGGAACAGAAGGCCCAAAUAUCAGUACAGAGUAUUUGGAGAAAGAGUUACAUAAAGUUGGGACCAUAUUCACCAUAAGGCCAUGUUUGCAUCGAUGAUAUUUCAUUUGAUGGUAUGGGCUGUAGUUCAAACGAAAAUACUUUUCAAGGAAAUGGCACUUGACUAAACACCCACUUUCUCCUUGGAGGGGUAAGUAGCUCUUCUUCUAGGAGUGUGUAAUCACUAAACUAACAGAGAGGCUAAAAUGCCAAUUCUAUGACAUCUAAAAUGAGACCUGAUCAGUUGACUAAUAAGUUCAAGAGCCAAAAUAGAAGCCCUUUUAUUUUCGACCUCUCCCAAAGGUACCAAGAAUCAUAACUUUAUCUUUUCACCGAGGGGAAAGGUACCUACAUAAAGACAAAAGGCGCCGUUUUCCUCCAUGAAUAGCAGCACUUGGCCAGUAGCAAGAUGACAUAACAGACGGGCUCUUUCAUGCGGUAACAGCAACAGGACAAAGUAUGUGCAAAAGACAAACCUUCCAUGUCCAAAUUUUUCAGGUCAGAUGAUUUAUUUUGUGCUACUACCAAUUGCAAGCAGAUGAUUUCUUUUGUGCAAAAAUUUCCAAGGAACCGUCGAAUGAUUUGAUUGACUUAUACAUACACAAGAACACAACGACAAAGAAGCAGAUGUUCUUUCUGCCUGUCUCUUUCUGUCCUCUCUUGGCCUUGUAUAGCUCUCUCCCUUUUAUUUAUUUAUUUAUAUCUAAUUUAUCUACUACGAACAAAAAAGCAAGAAUGAGACAAGGCGGGGCGGACCUCGUCGGCGCCGUCGAUGGCGAGGUCGAUGAGCGGGUGGUCGUCGAGCGUGGAGAGCGGGAUGCCGAGCGACUGCGCCUGCUCAAAGGUGCGCUUGGAGGUGGGCACGCCGACGAUCUUCUCGAGCUUGCCAGAGGCGAGGAGCGCGCCGAUCUCGGCGACGGCGAAGGCGGCCGUGGACCCCGUCCCGAGACCCAGCACCAUCCCGCUCUGCACCUGCUCCACCGCGCGCACCGCCGCCAGCCGCUUCAGGUCGUCCUGCGUCAGCGCCGCCGCCGCCGGCGCGGACUGCGCGCGGACGGCCCCGAGGCGGGCGCGGCGCGCCGCGGUGACGUGGCGCGCGGCCGCCGGGUGGAGGCGGACGGAGAUGGCGGUGGCGGCCAUGGGAGGCGGCGCGUGUGGGUGGGUGUGUGGUGGUGGGAGGCGCUGGAGCUCGGAGGGUGAGGAGUGUGGGGAGGAGGAGGCGAGGCGAUGGGGAGUUGGUGGUGGAGGCGGCGAUGGUUGAUCGUCAGAGGUUUGGGUUGGUGGUGACUUUUUUUUUGGGUU
rnacentral:lncRNA from 1 species